UCCCUGGAGGAUCAGUGAUUAGAACUUGGCACUUUCAUUGCUAGGGUCUGGGUUCAAUCCCUGGUUGGGGAA
rnacentral:tRNA from 1 species